rnacentral:lncRNA from 1 species
UGGUGUGAUGGUCAACGUUCACCAUGCCGCUCUCCAGGGAAGAAAAAGUCCUGAUUUGUAGCAUUUGCAGAUUUCCGUGUUGCAAACACUCUCACCAACCUUCCAUUACUAAAGGUGGAGUUAGGAAGAGAUCACACACACAACUGGUUUGCAUGAGCUGCUGAGAGCCAGCUCCAGGAUACCACAGUGCCUGUUCCCUUCUGAAGAUGAAAUUUCUCAUCGUCUCUGGACAUACCCCAGAGACCUUGGACCAUGGAGAAGAUACUUACCUUUUUCUGUGGGAGGAGCCAGUGCAUGGAGGAAGCGUGGUGCUCAACUGUCUACAUCAGAGUGCUGGAAUGUACAUGUCACCAGGCUAUUUUUCAUUAAAAAGUGAUGACAGCUAAAUAUAUUCCCUGACUCUGCGGCUAAUAACUUCCUGACUUAGACCUCACUUGCUAGACCCAUUCCUGAAACCAGACCGCACUAGUCCCUGUGGGGCUUCUAUUAUUGGUGAGCCAUCUCAACAGAUGCAGGUCUAACCAAAUCCAUGUCUAAUAUAAGCAUGCAAAUUGGGAGAUGAAAGGGAAAAUUUUAUGUGCUGAAUCACAAUCCACAGAGAGAGAAGUAGGGGCAUAAGCAGCUGCCUGGAAGACAGGACACCAAAAGUCAUUGUCAUAGAGGUCCUAAGCAGCACAGGGUUCAUUCCGUCCAGCCAUCAUUCAUAGCUAUGCCCUUUGAAUAUUCAUCUCUCACAUUAAAAAUAUUUGCCUGGCUACCCUGUUAUGAAGGCAGUAUGUGUAUAUCAAAGCAUGGUUUUUGCAGUGAGACACACAUGAAGCAUUUUAUCUGCAUUUUAAUACCAUUUAAUCCUCACUAUUAUUAUGCCCAUUUUACAGCUAGGAGAACUGAGUCACAAGGACACAAGUGGAAGUUCUUGAAUUAAAACCAAAAUAAGCCUAAUUCUAACAGCUGAGCUCUUUGCCAAUUUAUUUUAAGUCUCAUUUCCCUGCUGACCAACUCUCCCUUCGUCUUGCUUCAAAAACCACACUAAUUUCUUCUUCUCCUAUUUUCUUUUUUUUUUUCUGAGACAGGGUCUCACUCCCAUCACCCAGGCUGGAGUGCAGUGGCAUGAUCAUGGCUCACUGCAGCCUCGACUUCCUGGGCUCAGGUGAUUGUCCCACCUCAGCCUCCCGAGUAGCUGGAACUACAGGUGCAUGCCACCACACCCGGCUUUUUUUCUUUUUUUUCUUUUUAGUAGAGACUGGGAUCUUGACAUAUUGCCCAGGCUGGUCUCAAACUCCUGGGCUCAAGCGAUCCACCUCUCUCAGCCUCCCACAGUGCUAUGAUUACAGGCAAGAGCCACAGCACCAGGCCUAUUUCUUCUUUUAAGAGCUUGCCAAAUGCUACUAUCUUAACUUGGAACUUCUCCCCACCUCCAUCCCUUAAACCUAUCCAAGUUCUAGCCACGCUUUAAGGCUCUAGUAGGAAAGUCUCAACUUUCCUGUAAUGUUUUCUCAGAUGAUUCUAACCCAGGUAGACAUCCCACUCAUAUUACAUGUACUGCCUCUGUUGGCAUUAAUUUGGCGUUGCCUCAGUUGUACCAUUUCAUAACUUGUUUGGCUUAUUUUCUGACCUAAUGCGCAAAUUGUCAAGGGCAGAAACCAUGUGUAGACCUCAUAAUGCUAAGUUCUAAGUAGAUACUAAAAAUUUUUUUAAUGAAUGAAUAAUACUGAUACCAUAGGUCUAUUGAUGGACUGAAGCUCUGAAUAUUCUAGAACUGGGAGGAAGAUUCAACAUUUUUGAAGGCUUACUACGUGCUAAGCCCUAAGUUAGGCAUUUUAUACAAUGAUUUUAUUUAAACCUAUAUGGCUGAUAUUGUGACUUCCAUUUUACAGAUUUUUUAAAAGGUCCAGAGAGGUUAAGAAAUUUGCUAACACAGGGCUGGGUGUGGUGGCUCAUGCCUGUAAUCCCAGCACUUUGGGAGGCCGAGGCGGGCAAAUCACGAGGUCAGGAGUUCGAGACCAGCAUGGCCAACAUGGUAAAACCCCGUCCCUACUAAAAAUACAAAAAAUUAGCUGGGUGUGGUGGUGGGCGCCUGUAAUCCCAGCUACUUGGGAGGCUGAGGCAGGAAAAUCACUUAAAUCUGGGAGGCGGAGGUUGCAGUGAGCCAAGAUCAUGCCACUGCACUCCAGCCCAGGAGAUAGUGUGAGGCUCUGUCUCAAAGAAAAGGAAAUUUGCUAACACGUUAUUAGAUUGUGGCAGAGCUACGACUUAAAUGUAGACUAGUCUGACUCCAAAGCCCGCACCACACAGCCACAUGGGUCAUCACUGCAUCUGUGAACGAGUUAACCUACACAAACCCCAGGGGACGGGGAUCGUAGCUAGCCCAGAAAGAAAUGACAAAUGGUCACUUGGUAAUACAUUCUAGGUUCUGUUAACUCUAAUAUUCAGAAAGUUGUUCUUCAUGUCUGACUUAAUUCUCUCCUGCUUCCAUUUCAUGCCAUUUCCCCUUGUUUUGUAGUCAAGCAUAUGGAAAACAUCUGGCUACCAUUUCCUAGACACCACUCCUUCUUGGUCUAAAAAAUUCCUGUGGUAGCAGCUCAACUUUAUUUUGUGUCAUCUAAAAUAUAGCCACACACCUUUUAGAGUGUAGGUUGUCCUAACUGAUAGGCUUUCCUACCCAGGCAGAAUUAUAGCUGUCAGCAGGGAAAAUGAGUGAGAGCUACUGGCAGGAUGAGCUAAUCCGUGGUCAGAUGCUCUUGGAUCAAAGAUUCAUGCUGAAACCAGCCGUCAGAGCAAAGAAGCCAAGUUCAUGGAUGAAAAAAAAAUGAGGCUGGGAAGCACAAUGCACCCCAGUGACCUACCAUUACCACUGGCCUCAAAAUAGCCUUGGAGCCAGGAUAGGGGGUGGGAGAAUAUAGAAACCAGGCAAGUAGGCCAUGGCAGAGAUUAAUUUGGGGAAACCAAGGAUGGGCAGACAGCCCCCAUCCCCUGGCAUCUGGGGAACAAGGGCAGCUGUACAGGAAACAUAAAAACACAGUGGAGACCAGAGGAGGGGAGUCAAAUGAGAAUGCUAAAUGUUUGGAACCCAGUGGCUAAGAAAGACGUUGCCAAGUGUCACACUGAAAACAGGAAAGCUUUCCUGGGCCCUGGGUGUGGAGGCCACCGAACAAUGAAAGGGGAAGCCUGUAAGAAGAAUAACAAUGACACGGAAGCCUGCUCCAGCCUGGUGAAAUCCCUUCUGCAGUUUUUACAAGAAGCAAAACAAACAACAGUCUGACCCCUCGGCUCGCCCCCGACGCCACACCCCCUCCUCAGUCCGCAUGUUGGGUCAGGAAGGGCAGUGGUGUGGCCAGAUCCAUGAAAGGGAUUCUAAGAACAAAGCCUGUGCCGUUUACCUGCAGAUCAAAGUUUGCCGUUAAUAACAUGUGUGUUGGAGAGGGCAGAGAGAGGACCGUUGCCCCUGCAUUCCAUUAAAAAGGGAUUAUGGGCUGUCUGACCAGAGAAAACCAGGAAAGAAAUUCCACAUGCCCUCUACCUCCCAUCACUAAGCAGCUAAGCUAUACCUGCACCCCUGCCCUCUGCGCUCCUUCCUGUUGGAACAAACAACGAGGCGUGUUUCUAUCAAAAUCAACGCUUUGGCUUGUGUACAAGUCCCAGCGCCAUUCGCCCACUCAAGCAUCUCCUGUCAUUCUCACCUUGUUCUCUUACAUCAUCAAAUUUUCAAUCUUCCCCUCUCAUCAUCAUUAAAAAAUGCUGCAAUAUCCCUCAUCUUUAAAAAUAAAGAUAAUUAAAAAAAACACACACACAACUCUUUAUAGAUCCAAGGCUGAUGUUCAGCCAGCGCCCAUGAGCACUAUUAUGGUGAUUGCUAAAAUACUGAAAGAAUUCUGGAUGGGUUGGUGAGCACUGCUACCCUGAGCCUCCCGAGUAUCUGCCUCUGACCUUUUCCAACCUAGCCUCUUCCCUGGGACCUCCUGGACAGCCUAUAAUCCAGAAACCAAAAGGUUAAUGCCAGGACCAGCAAAGUCCUCCAAGACCCUGCUCCAGACCUAUAGGCAGCAUCCCUUCUGACUGCUCAGUGCCCAUGCCAUAGUUAUUCUAAUAGCAUCCCUGCUUAGACACGGCAUUUUCUUCGAGUCAUUCCCUCUUCCCCUCGCCACUACUUUCCUCUCCUUUAGAGUAAAACCCCUGGAAGAGUUGUCUAUCCUGUCUCCAUUUAUCUUUUUUUCUUUUUUGAACCCAUUUCAACCAGAUUAUGUUUCCAAUCUCUCCAGCAUCACUUUUCUCAAGGUUAUCAAGGAAACCUCCACUUUGCCAAAUCCAAAGAUCAGGCCUCAGUCCUCAUCUUAUUUGGCUUACUAGUGUCAUUUGACACAGCUGACCAAUUCCUUUUCCUUAAAACAUCUUUUUUUGUUACUUUCUUUCCUUGUCUCUGAGACGCCACUUUCUCCUGGCUCUCCUUCUUUCCGUCGGUCUGCCUUUUGCUCUCCUUUUCUGGUUCCGUCUCACCAUCCUGGUCCCUAAGGCUGAAGCUCUCUAGGGCCCAGUCUCUGGAAUCUCAUCUAUUUUCCUCUCUGCAUUCACUCUUUGGGUGAUCUCUUCUAGUCCCUUGACACUGAAUACCAUCUAUAUGCCAAUGAUUGUCAAAUUUCUAUUUCCUGCACCAACAUUUCUACACUCAUAAUCCAAUUGUCACUCUGCGCCUUCACUUGAAUAUAUAAUAUACAUCUCAAAUUUAAGUUGUGUAGAACUGCGCCCUUGCUAUUCCCAUCAAAACUUCUUUUUCUUGCCCCUGGUCUUCAUCUUAGAAAGUGACAACAUCAUUUUUCCUAUUGCUGAGGCCAAAAUCCUUGGAGUCAGCCUUGACUCCUCUCUUUUCUCUCACACCAAACUAUAAUCUACCAGUAAAUUCUGAAGCCCUACCCUCAAAUCAGACCCAGAAUCUAACGAUUUAUCACCACCUCCCACCACAGCCAUUUAAGUCCAAACCACUAUCAUGUGUCUCCUUUAUUAAUGCCAUGAUGAUGCAAAGGUUUCCCUGCUGUCAGCCCGGCCCCUUUUACAAUCUCUUCUUUGCACAUUGGCUGAAUAAGUCUCUUCAAGUAAAUUUAGUUCAUUAUACUCCUUUGCUCAGAGUUUCCAAAUGGGUUUCAUCUCGCCUAGAAUAAAAUUCAAAGUCUAUACACUACAGUUAGACACUAAAUGGAGCCCACACAUUAUUAGCUGGGUUCCGGCUUUGCUCCACAGUGUGGCCAUCUUCCAAAUAUGUUAUUCAUCACAAGGAAGACUGGGUAAGAAUAUGAAUGUUUUAUUAUGCAAAUCUAAAAAUAAAACAAACAAAAACAAAAUAUUUGUUACAAAGUUAAAUCUUAAUGAUGGUCCCUUAUGAACUUCAACUUUUUAUUUAAGGGCACUAUAUUGCCUUAAUGUGCAUUAAAAUGAUUUCAUUUUGUCUCCAUUCAUACCAUGAGCUGAAAUUAAAUUAUGUCUAAUUGUCAGUGUACAUAGUGGGCAGUAUUGAAUCAACAAAUGCUUAGAAAAUGACCUUUUUUUUUUUGAGACUGGUUCUCACUCUAUCAUCAAGGCCAGAGUGCAGUGGAGCGGAGCAAUCAUGACUCACUGCAGCCUUGACUUCCUAGGCUCAAGCGAUCCUCCCACAUCAGCCUCCAGAGUAGCUGGGACUACAGGCAUGAACCAUCACAUCUGGUUAAUUUUUGUAUUUUUGUAGAGAUGGGGUUUUGCCAUGUUGCCCAGGUUGGUCUUGAAUUCCUGGGCUCGAGCAAUCUGCCCAUCUCAGCCUCCCAAAGUGCUGGGAUCGCAGGUGUGAGCCACUGGACUUCUUAUUAAUUACCUGUGAGGAUGAUAAUGAUAAUCAUAAAUUGAAUAUUCCUGGGUAAGUUAUGGCAUUUUAUGUAUUUAAAUUACAUAUAUUUCCAACAACUUUAUCUCCAUUCUAAAGGUGCAGCCACAGUUUUGUGGCUCAGAAAAUUUGAUGCCUUAAUCAAGGUAUAGUACUUGCUAUGGUAAGUAACACAGUUUGAGAGCAAUGGUCUGUGUGGCUUCAAUGUUUGUGCUUUUGCAAUAGCCAUAUCAUGGUGAACCAUUUACAGAUGUAAUACUUUUGUCUUUAUCAUGCUAUCAUCAUUAUUAUCUCAACAAACUCUAAGGAUCACUGACAAGUGAGAAGCUGAUACUGCUGUCCUUGGUCUAUGAAUGAGUAUGCUGAGCUCCAAAGAGCCUCAAGCUCAAAUGACAGAGCCAAGGUUGGAGAAUUCUUCCAAAGAAUACCUCAAGGCAACAAAACUGUCAUUUCUUACAGAGGAGCUGCCCAAUCUUUCACCUUCUGCUGUGCUCACCUAUGAUGCCAGCCCCCAUAACAACAAAAUCUUUCUCUUGAAGAAGAGUAAUGUAACUUUUCCAGGAAUGCUCAUGUUUUUCUCUCAACCGGGAAAUUAGAUAUUGAAAAGGAACAGUCUUUGUUACCUUAGAGUUAUUCUGAAAGUUUAAUUUCUUUUUAAGCAGAAAAUAUAGACUCAAAAUGCAGAGGAAGCAUUUCUGUAUCCAUGCAAGAAAAAAAAAUGAUAAAGAAACUAGAGUGGAUAUGAUCUAAUAAGCAUGUUAGGGACAAACCCUAAAGAUAACUCAAGGAUUUUAAAAGGAUUAAUGGCAAGUCAUGAUGAUUCAUGCCAGUAAUCCCAGCACUUUAGGAGGCUGAGGUGGCAGGAUGACUUGUGCCCAGGACUUCAAGACCAGCCUGGGCAACAUAGUGAAACCUCGUCCUUACGAAUAAUUUAAAAAGAAAAAAAUUAGCUGGUCAUGGUGGUGUGUGCCUGUGGACCCAGCUGUUUGAGAGGCUGAAGUGGCAGGAUCACUUGAGCCAGGGAUUUUAAUGCUGCAGUGAGUCAUAUGGACUUCACUGCACUCCAACGUGAGAGACAAAGCGAGACCCCAUCUCAAAUAAAACAAAAUAAUUAAUGUUGUUUAUGAGAAAAGAAGUAAUGGAAAUGUGAAGAGGUGAUUCUGCAGGCCAACCAGAAGCUAUGGAAAAGACCACCUUAAGCUCAAAGAAAAAUACAGACUCAGUUGUUACCACCGAAGUCUUAUCAAAAACCUUCACCAGUCACGGAGCUUUUUUUUUUUAUAUAUAUACUUUAAGUUUUAGGGUACAUGUGCACAAUGUGCAGGUUAGUUACAUAUGUAUACAUGUGACAUGCUGGUGUGCUGCACCCACUAAGUCAUCAUCUAGCAUUAGGUAUAUCUCCCAGUGCUAUCCCUCCCCUCUCCCACCACCCCACAACAGUCCUCAGAGUGUGAUGUUCCCCCUCCUGUGUCCAUGUGUUCCCAUUGUUCAAUUCCCACCUAUGAGUGAGAAUAUGCGGU